rnacentral:rRNA from 1 species
AUGGCCACAGAAGAAACCCCAGAGGAAAAUCCAGAGGAUCUUCUACAGGAAACUGAUCAACCUGACGAUCACACAGCUCCUGUUACAAGUCCCACUGAGGAGGAGCAAUGCAUGCAAAUUUCCUCCCAAGCGGUGGGCAAGAAAACUGCUGCCAAGUCCUUCUCAUUACAAAUUCAAAUCAGUGGGAAGUGUGGAAUAGCACUAGUUGACACUGGAAGCUCACACACAUUCAUUGACAUGAAGUUCACCGUGAAAACCACCUGUCACACUGUCCCAACCCCUAUGGAAACUGUCCUUGUUGCGGGAGGAGGAACACUACAGUCGGGAUCCCAGGUAGUUGAAACACAAUACACCAUCCAAGGACACAAGUUCAAGAACUCCUUUAAAGUGUUACCACUGAAGGGAUAUGACAUUAUCUUGGGGUGCGAUUGGCUGGAAAAACAUAGCCCAAUCACAAUGGACUUUAUCACCAGGAAAAUGCAGGUCGUUUUAGACGGCAAAACCAAAAUCACUCUCAGAGAUAACAACAGGAAGGGCACGGUCCCUCUCAUCUCAGUACACCGAAUGGAGAAGCUUGCCUCCACUGACGUAGCCGGCUACUGCCUUUUCCCCUUGUCCAAAACCACCGAACAACAAGAACAACAAUGCAAUGAAGUGGAGGAAUUACUGAAGGAAUACAAUGAUGUUUUCCAAGAACCCAAAGGAAUGCCACCUAUCAGAGAAUGUGACCACUCCAUCCCCUUGAAGAAUAACUCUGAGCCCCCUAUGGUCAGACCUUAUCGGGUUCCCCACAAGAAAAAGAAUGAAAUGGAGCAACAAGUGCAAGAAUUGUUAGAUGCAUCCAUCAUUAGGCCUAGCACUAGCCCAUAUGCUGCUCCUUCCAUUCUGGUUAGGAAAAAGGAUGGUACCUGGUGGUUGUGCAUCGAUUACAGGAAGCUGAAUGCCCAAACUGUCAAGAACAAGUUCCCCAUCCCAGUUAUCGAGGAUCUCUUUGAUGAGCUGCAAGGAGCACAAUACUUCACAAAGAUCGACCUCAGGGCAGGGUACCACCAAGUGAGAAUGAAUACUGCUGAUAUCCACAAGACUGCGCUCAGAACAUACUUCGGCCACUUUGAGUACUUGGUUAUGCCUUUUGGGCUCACCAAUGCCCCAGCAACUUUCCAAGCCCUCAUGAACAAAGUGUUUACCAAGUACCUCCGAAAAUUUAUUCUUGUGUUCUUCGAUGAUAUCUUAGUGUACAACAAGACGUUGCAACAACACUUGAAACAUCUGAAAAUGGUCCUGGACAUCUUGAGAGCUGAGCAACUUUUUUCCAAAAGGAGCAAAUGCAUCUUUGCUGCCCCCCAGGUGGAGUAUUUGGGCCACAUAAUCUCGGGAAAAGGCGUAGAGACCGACCCACAAAAGGUUGAGGCAGUUUCCAAUUGGCCUCUACCUCAAAACAUCACUUAG